GGAUAUGACUCCUCAUCGCAUGGUGGGGGGUGGAAAGCUUUAUUGUGGUUUUGGAUGGACUCGCGGCCUAUCAGCUUGUUGGUGAGGUAAUGGCUCACCAAGGCGACGACGGGUAGCCGGCCUGAGAGGGUGACCGGCCACACUGGGACUGAGACACGGCCCAGACUCCUACGGGAGGCAGCAGUGGGGAAUAUUGCACAAUGGGCGCAAGCCUGAUGCAGCGACGCCGCGUGAGGGAUGACGGCCUUCGGGUUGUAAACCUCUUUCAGUAGGGAAGAAGCGAAAGUGACGGUACCUGCAGAAGAAGCGCCGGCUAACUACGUGCCAGCAGCCGCGGUAAUACGUAGGGCGCAAGCGUUAUCCGGAAUUAUUGGGCGUAAAGAGCUCGUAGGCGGUUUGUCGCGUCUGCCGUGAAAGUCCGGGGCUCAACUCCGGAUCUGCGGUGGGUACGGGCAGACUAGAGUGAUGUAGGGGAGACUGGAAUUCCUGGUGUAGCGGUGAAAUGCGCAGAUAUCAGGAGGAACACCGAUGGCGAAGGCAGGUCUCUGGGCAUUAACUGACGCUGAGGAGCGAAAGCAUGGGGAGCGAACAGGAUUAGAUACCCUGGUAGUCCAUGCCGU
rnacentral:rRNA from 1 species